CGAUAAUCUGGUGCGGCAAAUGUCGACCGCGAAAAAAAAAUAAUCAUGAUAAACCGGUGGUUCGUCCGCACUCCAUAGCGGAUUUCUCGAACAGUACUUACGAUAUCGUUUCGCAUUAUUAUCAAUCGAUUAAUAAUAAUUAUUAUUUUUAUUAUUAUUAUAUUAUCAAUAAUCGCGUGUAGUUUAUGAAAGAAAAAAAUAAAAAUAAUAAACAUAAAAAAAAAAAAAAAAUAUUUAAAUUUUACGUCCCUAAUAUUAUUAAUCAAUUAUUAUUUUUAUUAUUAUUUUAUUAAUUUCUAUUAUAUUAACCGGGGCGACGAUGUGGUUCCGACGAAACUCAAACCGUAAUAUUAAUCAGGGGCGGUUUUUUGCGCGGGAUCGUAUUUCGAGUCAAUUUUCCUGUCGACUCGUCGUAACGGAAAUUGUUCGAGAUUUUAUUUGUCACACCGCGGUGUCUCUACGCGCGCGCGCGCGGGUAGAAUAUUAAAUGUCGCGGUCAUUUUCAGACGGAAAACCGCUUCGGGGGCAUUCGGAUCCCCGCAUGCCCCGUACCCGAAAUGAUCAUCCCGUGCAGUAAUCAUAACAGUCGAGUCGCUUAUCUAAGUCGGUUUUUGUGUGUGUUCAAUUUAAUUUUGUUUUGAUUUUUAUUUGAUUUGUUUUUGUACAUUUUGUUUUUUUUUUUUUUUCCAUUCGAUUAAUUAUACAAAUAAUAAGCGUCCGCGUGCCUGGAAAACACAAAUAACGAAAAGGCCUAUUAUUUUGUAAUAGUAUAUUAUUUUAUUAAUUAUUGGUCAGUAUUAAAAGAACGAGAUUUUAAUCUGAUACACGAACAAAGACUUCCUUUUUAUUUUAUUAUUAUUUUUAUUAUUAUUAUUACUAUUAUAUACCUAAUUUAUUUAUUUAUUUUUACAUUUUUUUUUUUAUGACUUAUAUAAAUAUAUAUACAUUAUUAUUUUUUUUUUUUUUUUUUUUUUUUUUUGUUGAUCUCUAGUCAUAACAUUUUCGAGGUUAAACUACAUUAAAAUUUAAUACAUACACACAUACAUAUAUAUAUAUAUAUAUAUAUAUAUAUAUAUGUCUAGAUACUAAUAUAAAUAUUAUAAUAUUUAAAUGUAAUUAUUUAAAUUUAUAUAGCCAAUUUUAUACGUUUCCUUAUAUACAUAAUUGAUUUCCCCCC